UGGAUCCAAUGAGGGAUGAAGAACUGAGGCAAAUACUGUAAUUUACCACAGAGAAGAAGGCCUACCACUAGGAUUGUACCCUUGUGUUCACAGGAAGUGGAGAUUUGGAUGUUUUUUUGCUUUUUACAAUGAAUCUGGGAGCCUGUGCUUGGAAUCCUGGGGCACUUCCACAUGAUGUGCUCCAUGUGUCUCUCAUCCUCUUUGGACCAGUUUCCCAGCCUAGUCUAUCCCCUACUUUGAGUGACACUGGACCUCCGGAAGCUCGCUCAGGGAAAUCCUUCAAAGUGCAUGAGAGACGGUCAAGGGCUGGUAAAUAUGGUGUGAUGGUGAUCUGUGCUGGCUUUCAGGACAAGAUGUCAGCACUCUGACCAGGUAGCCGCCUGAGAGAGGGACCAAAGAGAUGUGUAUCUAUAUAGAUUUUUCUUUAUCCACUUGGGACAAAUUUAAGGUCUCUAAGGCAUUAAUACCCUCUUUGAUAAAUUUCCACGUCCCAUGUCUCUCAUGCAAUGUUUAGAGCAGCAGACAUUUUCUAGUGUUUUAAGUAAUCUAUAUGUCAUUAUUUAUGACAGUUUUAAUCAUAAAGUAAAGCUAGCUGCUGGGGGAAAAAAAAUUCCUAAAUAUUAGUCAUUCACCCAAUAAAGUUUAUUUUUCACUCACAUCACAAUCUAAUCAAGAUUAGUGGGUUAAUAGUUGAGGAGAACUUUGUUCCAUGAAGUCAAACAGAGACCUGGACUUUUUCUACCUGGUCACGUUUUCAGUUUCAGUGGUUCAAGGUGGCCAAGGAAUGGGAAGAGAGAGAGAAUAGGGGGAAGGCUCACCAGUUUUUGAUUGGACCCAGAAGUGAAACUCUACCUCUGCUCAAAUUCUACUGGUAAGAACUGGUCACAUGGCCUUACCUACAUGUAAGGGGAAUGGUCAAAGUAGUUUAACUUUGUGAUCAGGAAAAGGACUAGAGGUUGGGUGAGCAUCCAUGACUCUGCUGAUAUGUCACUUUCUCUCUGAAUCCGUGUUUAGGAUUGUACCUGGUAUACUGUAGGCACUCAAAAAUGUUUGUUGAGCAAGUAAAUGAAUGAAUGAGUGACUUUUGUUGUUAUGUUUUUCUGAGGCAGAAAAGGGGAAGGAAAUAAUUUUGGGGGAAGCAGAAACCUGCAUCUCCUAUUGUAUUCAUAUGACCACUUACACUUAUGAAAUUAUUUCACAAGCAUUCUUGGAAUUCAUUUUCUUUUAUUUUUUUUCAUUCAUUCAACCAAUACCUGAGUAUACUCCUAUGUGUCAGGUACUAUGCUGUGUGCUCAGGAAACAGAUGGACACCAUAAUUCCUGUCCAUUAGGAACUCUCACAAAAUGAGUUUAGUAGGGCGAGGGAAAAGAAGCCAAUAAUUACAGUUAUAGUGUAGGUGCCAUGUUACAGAUAUGGAUGGAUGGAGGUGGUAAUGUUCAGGAGGGGCGCCCAAUUCACUUUGGGAUAGGUGUUGUGGGAUUUCAUCUUCUAGAGGAGGUGAUACUUCAUCCAAAUGAAAUGAAUCUGCCAGUUGAUGCCCCAAAAAUAGACAUAAGGGGAACGGUAGUGCAGUUUGGCAAUUUAGGGAAUUACAAUUAAUUCAGAAGGUCAUGAUGAGGGUGGUGGGAGGGAAGGUUGGCAAAGUAGGGCUG